rnacentral:lncRNA from 1 species
GUGUGCAGAUCACAGAGAUACAAAGCACAUUCAAAAGCAUGCAUUGUCAUCGCAGAAGUCUUUGAAAUCGUUUGUCACAGCGAAGCUUCCCAAAACUUAGUAAGGUGAAUAAAAAACUUGAUGAAGUAAAAAUACGCAUCCAUGAUGAGGAGCCUCGCAGCGCUUAAAUAUUCAAAGAGUAAUUCCAUGGCUCAAAUUUGUUUGCCAUUUGAGCCUUUGCUUGC